rnacentral:rRNA from 1 species
AUGUCUACGUUUGUGGCGGAAAGCAACGGAUCUGUGUGCUCGGCAGUAUCGUGGGGCAUUUCUAAUUACCCUGAUUCGGCUGUUUUUGGCAUCGAUUCGAAGAAGCUGAGUGUCCUCCGAGAGGUUACCGAGGACGACCCUAGCGGCAGAUUUGCGGAUUUGUUGGAUUCUGUCGACGUUAGGACAGAAACAGACAUCGCGGAUCUAGAUGAGAAUAGGGCUUCGAGGAUGGAGAAUAGAUAUGUGGCCCUUGAUGACAAAGUUGGGUGGGUUACAAGGAAGGUAGCAAUGCCAGACGAGAGAGCAACAAGUGCUGAGAGGGUGACAGCCCUAGAAAUAGCGCUCACGGGAUUUGCUGAAAGGAAAACAGACACCGUAGUGACACCAUCAGUUGGACUGACGUUCGACUCUAUAAUAGAGGCCUACGAUUUUUACAAUCUUUAUUCCUGGGAGACAGGUUUUGGCAUUAGAUAUGCAAAGAGCAGAACCAAUGUAAAAGGCACGAGAUGCAUGCAGGAGUUCGUGUGCUGCUGCUCGGGCAAGCCAAAAGAGCCGAAUUCAACAUCAUCACGGUGUCAAUGCCAAGCCAUGAUAAGACUUUUGCGGACAGACGACGAUGGAUGGUACAUCAACGAAUUCCGGUCAAGCCACAAUCACCAGAUGUUAAACACAUGUGCUGAAAAGCUCCAUUUCCCUUCACAUAGGCAUAUCGACAAAUAUACCAGAGAGCUAGUAUCUCAGCUUAGAGAGAACAAUGUGAACCUGAGCAAAGUUUACAGUAUUCUUGCAACUUUUUUGGGAGGGUUGAAAAUGUGUCGUUCACCAAAAGGUGCCUCAGGACAUUAUGUGGGAAGCUGA